UUGAGAGUGGCUCAGUGGUUAAGAGCACUGACUUCUCUUCAGAGGUCCUGAGUUCAAUUCCCAGCAUCCACA
rnacentral:tRNA from 1 species